UACAUUUGAAUACUCUGUGGUCAUAUAAAAAAAAUCUCUCGUUGAAAACCUCUGCGCGGAGAACUGGCGGGAGAAACGAAGAGAAGUGAAAAUGACACACCGUCCUCAGUCGAUUUUCUCCUAAAUUGUCCUAGAAAUUUGCUGUACUGUUGAUUACCAUGUCUGUUACGAACGAGACUGUGAUUGACGGGACUGCUGAGGAAAGUAACAGGAGAAAGUCCAGACGUCGCUCCAGCCUGAGUGCCAGGCGUUUCAGCCUUGUUAAUCCAUUUGUAGAGCCCCCUACAGAGCAGUCACAAGUGGAAGAAUCAAGACUUACUCAGGGGAGUGCUAUAGAAGGGCUUAUUGAAGGUAGGGGGUCAGGAAGAUGAGGGUGAAGACGAGGAGGAAGAUUACUGGGCUAUGGGAAGGAAAUAGACAG